rnacentral:lncRNA from 1 species
UGCUAUAUACACGGGUCAUAAUCAAAGGGCUGACACUACUAAAUUCAAUCAUUGUCAAAUUGUUCCCUAUUGUAGCUUUAUUCAGCAAUUAGCAAGACUUUCUAAGAUAACUAAUAUAGGACAAUGCUGUUGAUUAAAAAAUACCCCAUUCCUGGAUAGCCUGGACCUUUUGUUUUCCAAAUAAUUAAUAUUUCCAAUAAUUGAUAAGUUCCAGGUCGACGGGUUCAAACAGAAAGAUUUGAAAGCAGAGAAAACUGUGUAUCUUAUAAUCGACAUGACUUUAUCAGAUGACAAUACCAAUUACUAAAUUAAGGCUUAGGCAUAGUUAUAUACUUUAAUUCAGUCACGGACCCGCGAUAUCACGGGUGUGUACUUGUACUAUAUAA